rnacentral:lncRNA from 1 species
AUGGCACAGCGUUAUGUGUGUCCGGUAGCUCUCGUUCAGGUCUCGUUGGAGGGUGUUCUUUCCACAGCUGCGGUUUUAAUAGAAGGACGCGCGCAGAGAGAGCGCACUCCGGGGUUACCGUGGAGGAGAAAUGAUCUGCGCCUUAAUUCCGGCCCGGCAAACUCGACGUCCGGCUGCACUGUUCAUACUCGCAGUGUCACAGAACUGAGACACAACAAUAGGGACCAGGUGCCCAGGCAGCAGACUGCAGGUGCAGCACUUAGCAAAGUGUGGUUUACACUGCUGGCUCUGAUUCAGCUGUGUGCACACCAAAGGGUACAGGCGAGAUUAACUAAGAAGUGGCUGUAAAAGACAACAAGAAUGAAUAGAUAAGAUGUCCCCCCCCCCCCACACCACCUGCCAAAAGGAAUUUCUAAGAAAAUCCCCUGUUAAACCAGUGUUUAUUUUUUUUGCAAAGAAAAGAGCAACUGAAGUUGUUGUGCAUCUCAGCUCAGAGCCUGCAGAGCAAGGGAGUCGUGCAGGGCUGUGCUGGGAGGAGAGCAGCUGAUGCAUUUCCCAGCAGGCCCUCCUGCUCUUCUGUGGCUAUUGUUGCUCUGCCUGCCUUGUGCUUCUUCUUCCUUUUUUCUCUGUGCUGGUCUGGUCCAAUCUGAUAGCCUGAGUGGGCUAUUCUGGCCUUGCUUCAAAACCCCUCAUCCUCCCCCCCGCACCACAUGUGGUCAAGCUCAGCUGCAUCUGUAAACAACAGGAAGUCAUCGGGAGUGCUGUUUGAUCAGCGCGAGUGUGCAUUGGGCACGGGGACUGAGAUACACUGAGCAAGCCUCUUCGGAGCUGGGCAGACCUGUCCGACGAACAUAAUAAUCCAAAACAGAAACGAAGGAAAGAAAGCUGAGGGAAUUUGGGGUUUGCCUGGAAUAAGAUCCUACGCAGGGGAGAAUCCAACACUCACAUGUGCGUAGUUCUCAUGUCUCCGAGUAACACCUGCUUUUGCUCGUGGCUUUUAGCAGUUCUGUGAUGGCAUCUCAUUCAGACAUUAUCAAAUCCCUAUCUGCCCUGUCCUCCAUGCAGCUGGAUAUUCUGAACAUGUAGCUCAUCAAGAAUGUCAAGCCACAGGCUGAUGGUUAUUAUCAGACCCCCCUGCUUCCUUGCUGAGUCCUGCAUGUGUGUGUUCCUGCUGGGCACACUAUAUACUUACAUUCUGCAUCUCAAAACCUCCAGUCUGAAAACAAGCAACCUUUCAGCUAAACACAUUUCCUGUCACUUUUACUAGUUCUAUUUCAAUGUGAUAAAAUGAAUGACUUUCUCUCCAGAGGAUCCCAAAGGUAAUUUUAUACACAGAAGAAGUUUCUUGGGUUGACAAUCAGUAUCUUUGGGGAUUCUGAUCUUCCCUCGCCACCUGCUCUCUUCCAGACAAAAGCAGCUACUUCAGCCUCUCAGUGUUAGACAUUCCCUGACAAAAAGGGUGAUUGCAGUCUCUUUGUUCUGACAUCUUGCCAGGUGCUUGUGUCCUUUUUUACAACCUGCGGAGCCUGCCCACUGCAGCUCGUCCUGGGCACUGCAGCUGUGCGGAGGAAACUGGGGCUCUGAAGAGCAGGCAGAAUUAAACACCCGGCUGGCACUGGCACCGAUUAAGGCUCCUAAUUCAUGACAUCUUUAUUAAACAUUUCCCAGUGACUGAGACACCUGUGUUUAGCAGUUCAUCUCUGCUCUCUUUAAACAUAAAGAAGGUUGAGAUUAGGCACUGAAAUGAAAUCAUUCUUGCACUGUUUGGGGACGAGCUGUCAGUGGUGUGGUCACUCUGCCCUUAUUGGAGGUGUAGGCAGUGUGCAUGGCAUGGCCUGUUCUUGUUUGUGACUGUUCUGAAGUACACACACAACUGCCCACGCCACGUAAGCCUUCCAUAAGGGCAGCAUGAGAGUAGUUUCCACUCUUGUCCUUUGGUUCCUGUUCCAGACUUAAAACCGUCUCUUGGAAGGUCUGUUGUUAAGGAGAGUCCAACAUGCUGUCUGCUGUCCGCCAGUCUUUGAUUCUUUUGCUCAGUUUCUUUGUCACUGACAUAGAAAACCAGGCUUUGACAAUCAUACUGGAUCCUGCAGAUUCAGGUUCAGGACCUGGAUGAUUGUUCUACUUCGAUGCCUCUGCAGGCUUACUGAUAAUUCACAUAGUUCAGUCAAGCCCUAACAAAGGCAGAGAAGAGGUGCAAUUUGAACACCUGGCUGAAGAGAAUGCUAAUCGUCUAAAAGUGGGAGGGGAGCAUGUCAAAACCUCCCUCUCCGCUAAGGAGGGAACACCCAGGGGAGCAGAUACAAGGGGUGAAGAUGAGGCAGAGGGAGGGAGGAAAAAAUGACACCCAGAACUGAGUCAGGAGGAAGCAUGACAUUUAUAUGUACAGUAGGCAGGUGGAAGUGGGCGAGAUUAGGGUUUGACCUCCCAAACAUGAACUCCAUUUGGUGUCAUGGUGCCUGUGGGUUGUAGCAGGUGUCCAGUCCGAGAGCUGUCCCCUCUGGGCUGAUGUGUUACCUGCCCACUGAAUGAAAAAGUCAAUAAAUAUCAGUUUUUUCC